rnacentral:rRNA from 1 species
GGAGGGUGCGAGCCUUAAUCGGGAUUACUGGGCGUAAAGCGCAUGCAGGCGGCUUGUUAAGCAAGAUGUGAAAGCCCGGGGCUUAACCUCGGAACCGCAUUUUGAACUGGCAGGCUAGAGUCUUGUAGAGGGGGGUAGAAUUUCAGGUGUAGCGGUGAAAUGCGUAGAGAUCUGAACGAAUACCGGUGGCGAAAGCGGCCCCCUGGACAAAGACUGACGCUCAGAUGCGAAAGCGUGGGGAGCAAACAGGAUUAGAUACCCUGGUAGUCCACGCCGUAAACGAUGUCUACUUGGAGGUUGUGGCCUUGACCGUGGCUUUCGGAGCUAACGCGUUAAGUAGACCGCCUGGGGAGUACGGUCGCAGGAUUAAAACUCCAAUGAAUUGACGGGGGCCCGCACAAACGGUGGAACCUGUUGUUUAAUUCGAUGCAACGCGAAAAACCUUACCUACUCUUGACAUCCACGGAAUCUCUUA